GCUGGAUGUUAUCCGGGUUUCUUUCCCAGUUCUGGUCCUAUAGGCUGGGGAGCUCAGCUUGGGGUUUAGACCCCAUACAUCUCAAGGGGAACCCUCCAGCUGCUGUAGUAUUCCUCUGGAACUUCAGCAGCCUCCCAUGGGAGCCCAGCCAGACCUCUUACACCUCUUCCGCAUUCCUUACCAGUCUCGUUGUAGUGAAAUAUUUUGUUCUGUCUACCUGUGGUUAUAAGGCUUCUCUCCAGCUAGGUUUCAGUUAGUUAUUCAGGAUUAUUUCUGUACAAUUUAGCUGUAAUUCCAUAUUGGUCCUGACAAGAGGAUAAUAUAGCUUCCACUUAACUCCUCCACCACCUUGGAUCUCCCUCAUCCUUUUUUUCUGAGCUAAAGCUUAUACAGUUGGCAUCAGAAUUCUACAAUCAUGUAAGAUGUUUCCUGGAAUCACAAAACCCUUAGAAGAAGAAGCUCUAAACUGAUGUCAAGCCCAGUUUUCAGUAAUAAUUAAAGAAAUUAAAUGACUGUUUAAUUUCAAAAGGUAAGGAAAUGAAAUAAACGUUUCAUCAUUAAAGGGCUGACAGUAUGAGAUUCCUCAUUAGGUCUCCCAGAGAGCACAGGCAAUUUUGCACCUAGUAAAAAACCUUCAAAGUCUCUUUUAUUAUGACAUGCAAACAAAUUGCUUCUCUUAAAUUUUUUUAGAUGUUUCUCUGUUUUCAAAAAGCCUGUUUAUUUCCUACUGCUAAUGUGUCUUCUAGAAUGUAUUUGAUUUCUUUUAGUCUUCUGUCACCCAUUGUCAAGUGGCAUAUAGUUCAGUCCAAUUUAGUUCAGCGAGGUUCAUGAAUAUUACCCCCCACCACACAGACACACACACAAUUUAAAUCCUGACAUUUCCUGAUGCUCCUUAAGUAGCAUUUCAUAUAUAAAUCAUAGCAUGCUGAUUUAUCCUUACCACAUAUUCUUUUUAGCACUUACCAGGAACACUGUAACUGCUAUGUCUGAACAGGCUUUGGAAGGUGGCUGGUGGGGAGGGACACAGACAGGGUGAUGAUGAGGGAGGCAUUAAUUAAAAAUCCUUUCUUUUAGCUUACCAUCUGCCUGAGGAAUUAACAAAUCCAGCCACAAAGAGUUAAACAAUUCAUCAACAAAGAAGUCAGCACAGGGUCCCAACUUUCACAAAAAUGGAAAGGAGAAAAGAAACCUUAAAUAUCAUCUGGACCAAACAUCUCAUUUUGCAGAUGAGCAAACAAAGUCUCAGCAGGGAUAUAAAGGAACUAAUUAGGGAGAGAAGCAAGAUUAGGGACCAUGACUUAAAAUCUAAUUAGAGGUACAAACAAUAAGUACUGUGAGAAGAAAAAAAUGACCCCCAGUGAGAGUCGGGUUUGGGUAGAAGCCUGGACAGUUGAUGGGAAUUUUAUCAAUUUGUUAGAAGUGGAGGAUGAGUGGUAUUUAGAAUGGAAAAUUAUCCAUAGCGGCACAAAGGGAAGAAUGGGGUGACCUCCCACUUGGGAGCCAUUGGAGGCAAAUAUGAAAAGACCCAGUGGGGUGAGACAGUGGAAGUCCAUGGAUCUUGUAAGGUGCUGUUUAGUGCAGUGAAGGCAGACAGUUUUGUGGUCACCCUGAUUGCGGUCACUUCCAAUCCCAGUCCUAUCUUAACUCUGUGCAAACGUGAGGAAGUGACUAAAAAGUCCUCUCAUGGGUUCCCUCAUCUCAACAGGAAGACAACACCAACCUUGUCUUAUAAUGUGUGAGAGUUAAACAACUGAACAUAGAUGUACAGCAGUUGGUCACAGGUGUAGAAUCCAAUGAUAAAAAAGAACAGAAUAGGCCUUGCUCCCCAAAGAAUUCACACUCUACUUGUGGGAGGCCAAAAAUUAGCACGUAAACAAAGAAAAGAAUUUUCUGGCAUGAGAUGCUAACGCAAAAGGUAACAUACCUAGGAAAAUGGUAUAGAUAACAAUGGAAGCAGCUUAAAAAGCUAAGUGGUCUAUAAUAGACCCUCAUUGAGGGAUCACUGGUGUCUCCCAGCCUCUCCAACUCAGAAGUCCAUAGUUUAUCCUAAAGCAGUUAGGACCUAUAAAGCAUCUGAGUAAAGUGAUGACAAGACAUGAUGACAAAAAAAA